rnacentral:lncRNA from 1 species
AAAUCCUCAGGUGUAUAAUGGUUUGGUACAGACAUGUACCAUUUUAUACAAACCUUAUCCUUAAUUAAUGCUCUAAUCCACGUUUUCCUGAGAAUUUUUUCUCUUUCUUGAUUGACUUCGAGAUUAUGCUGCCCUCUAUACGGUCCGUGUCAGGCAUUCGAUCAGCUUCCUCGGGGUAGGUGUCUUUUAGCCGGACGUGACGCUCACUUCGAGCCUCAUGGACUCGAGCCCAUAGCCCGACUUAAAACUUCAAAAUUAUGAUCCUCGAGUUUGACCGUAUACAAAUAGAAAAUCUGAAAUCAAAAUUUUUUGAUAAGGAAUCGAACAUGUUGGGAUUUAACUUUU